rnacentral:rRNA from 1 species
ACGCUCGACACCUACGGGAGCAGCAGUGGGGAAUAUUGCACAAUGGGGGAAACCCUGAUGCAGCGACGCCGCGUGAGCGAAGAAGUAUUUCGGUAUGUAAAGCUCUAUCAGCAGGGAAGAAGAAAGACGGUACCUGACUAAGAAGCCCCGGCUAACUACGUACCAGCAGCCGCGGUAAUCUGAGCGGGCUGGCAAGGC